GCCAAUUGGAAGGUUGGUGGUUCGAUGCCUGGCCCUGCAAAUAUAUGUCGAAGGGUCCUUGGACAAGACACUGAACCGUGAGUUGCCCCCCGAUGCCAUCGGAGUGUAAAUGUGUGUGAAUGUUUAUCUGAUGAGCAGGUGGCA